GAUGAACGCUGGCGGCGUGCCUAAUACAUGCAAGUCGAGCGAACAGACGAGGAGCUUGCUCCUCUGACGUUAGCGGCGGACGGGUGAGUAACACGUGGAUAACCUACCUAUAAGACUGGGAUAACUUCGGGAAACCGGAGCUAAUACCGGAUAAUAUAUUGAACCGCAUGGUUCAAUAGUGAAAGACGGUUUUGCUGUCACUUAUAGAUGGAUCCGCGCCGCAUUAGCUAGUUGGUAAGGUAACGGCUUACCAAGGCAACGAUGCGUAGCCGACCUGAGAGGGUGAUCGGCCACACUGGAACUGAGACACGGUCCAGACUCCUACGGGAGGCAGCAGUAGGGAAUCUUCCGCAAAGGGCGAAAGCCUGACGGAGCAACGCCGCAUGAGUGAUGAAGGUCUUCGGAUCGUAAAACUCUGUUAUUAGGGAAGAACAAAUGUGUAAGUAACUAUGCACGUCUUGACGGUACCUAAUCAGAAAGCCACGGCUAACUACGUG
rnacentral:rRNA from 1 species